ensembl:snoRNA SNORD54 small nucleolar RNA, C/D box 54
UGAGCUAUGAGGAUAAAACUUUUGCCUGAUGAACCCUGACGACCUAUACGCUAUUCUGAGCCGCGU